UACGUAGGUGGCAAGCGUUGUCCGGAUUUACUGGGCGUAAAGAGCGCGCAGGCGGUCGUUCAAGUCGCGUGUGAAAGCCCCCGGCUCAACUGGGGAGGGUCACGCGAUACUGAUCGACUGGAAGGCAGAAGAGGGUAGUGGAAUUCCCGGUGUAGUGGUGAAAUGCGUUGAUAUCGAUAGGAACUCCGGUGGCGAAGGCGGCAUACUGGACCACAUCUGACGCUGAGGC
rnacentral:rRNA from 1 species